GUUGUACGAGUUGAGACUCGUAGCAGAUAGCUCAGUAACACGUGGCCAAACUACCCUAUGGAUCCAGACAACCUCGGGAAACUGAGGCUAAUCUGGAAUAGGGCUCUCAUCCUGGAGUGGAGAGAGCCUGAAAUGCUCCGGCGCCAUAGGAUGUGGCUGCGGCCGAUUAGGUAGACGGUGGGGUAACGGCCCACCGUGCCAGUAAUCGGUACGGGUUGUGAGAGCAAGAGCCCGGAGACGGUAUCUGAGACAAGAUACCGGGCCCUACGGGGCGCAGCAGGCGCGAAACCUUUACACUGCACGCCAGUGCGAUAAGGGGACUCCAAGUGCGAGGGCAUAUAGUCCUCGCUUUUUGCGACCGUAAGGUGGUCGCGGAAUAAGUGCUGGGCAAGACCGGUGCCAGCCGCCGCGGUAAUACCGGCAGCACGAGUGAUGACCGCUGUUAUUGGGCCUAAAGCGUCCGUAGCUGGCCGCGCAAGUCUAUCGGGAAAUCUCUCCGCUUAACGGAGAGGCGUCCGGUGGAAACUGUGUGGCUUGGG
rnacentral:rRNA from 1 species